AAGUUGAGAGGCAAUUUAGUGAAUGCUCAAAAUCUCUGCAGUGGAAUAAGGAUAGAGUGAGGGAACUAGAAACACAACUUAAAUCCUUGCAAGAGGAUUUAAUUUCAGCUAAAGAUGCUGCUGCAGCAAACGAAGAGCAAUUAUCAGCUGAACUUUCCACUAUUCAUGGUUAUCAAAGGAAUGAUCAAAGGAUGUCCAUAUCUAAAGAUUAAGCUAAGGUGGUGGAAAAGAUCAAUAAUAGUUAAAAAAA